GGUGAGUAAUGCUUGGGAAUCUGGCUUAUGGAGGGGGAUAACUACGGGAAACUGUAGCUAAUACCGCGUAGUAUCGGAAGAUGAAAGUGCGGGACCGUAAGGCCGCAUGCCAUGAGAUGAGCCCAAGUGGGAUUAGGUAGUUGGUGGGGUAAAGGCCUACCAAGCCUGCGAUCUCUAGCUGGUCUGAGAGGAUGGCCAGCCACACUGGAACUGAGACACGGUCCAG
rnacentral:rRNA from 1 species